UUCAAUGAAAAUAAAAUUUAGUACAACAAAUAACGAACAUAUUACUACACCAAAAACACAAAUAUAGUAGGCCAACAUAAUAAAAGAACAUGAAAUAUGAAAAAUAUAGUAAACACAUACAUGUCAAUGUUUAGUCCCGGUUGCCAUUAUUCUCUGCUCCAACCACUUAAAUCGUUCUUUCAGUUGUUCUUUUUCUUCUUCUACCUCUUUUAGUUUCACAUUCACCUCCGAAAGUUCCCGUUUAUAUAUAUUUUUACAUUCCUUUUGUGCUUUUCAUUUUUCUUCUCCCACAUCCUUCAGUUUUUCCCUCAUUUCUGCAAUAAUUCUAUCGCUUUCUCUUUGUCUUUCCUGUUGGCAUAAACACAUAUUAUGAAGAAACUGCAGUUGAUCUCUGUAUCAAUCCUAAUAACAUGGUUCAUCAACCCAUUCCCCAAAAUCACAAAUAGGUUCGCCGGGAACCUUGUAAAACUGGUUCAUACAGCACCAGUAGCGGCGUCCAACUUCACCACCAUCACAACAAUUUUGUAUCGAGAAUUCUUUUCCACAGUUGCACUUUGGUGGAUGAAGAGGUUGAGCCAUUUAAUGAAAUAUGUGCUUUUAGUAAAAAAAAAAAAAACCAUACUUGUAAUGAAAUAUUUGUUUUUAG
rnacentral:lncRNA from 1 species